GGGAAACGAAAGAACUCAAAAUCUAGUUAAAAAUUACGCAAAAAGAAGUACUCUUGAAACACUACAAAAUUGGAUACUUUUCUGUUCUUGUUUUUACAUAAAUUUUGCUCAAACUGUAGGUCAUCCCAAAACUCUAACUUUUGGGUAAUUUUAUAGUUUAGACAUUUUUAUUUUGUUUUGCUUCCCAUCCAAAGAGAGUAUCCAAAAACGAGACUUAAUUGAGUACUGAAUUUUGGAUGAAAAUUUUGUUCGUGCGCCAUUUUCACUUCUGGAGCGAGUCAUUAUCAUCAAGCAAGGCAUAGAAGUUUCCAGGGCCAGGACACCCAUUAACUUCCGAGCGAAAUGGAACCUUACGGAUCAACCUCUGGAUCGGAGUAUUCGGUGAAACAUUGAAACGGCGAUAUUGGAACGCAACUUCCGUGAUGACAUGAAUUACGAGUGCCAUGCUGCAGGAGCCAAGGCUGGAGCUGCACCCGCGGGAACACCGUUCGAGAUCCGGACUACAGUGAAAAGUGUCAAAUGUGUAAAAAUAUGUGAGAUGUAUUGUAUUAUUUUGCUCGAUAUUUUGUUUGUGGGAACUAAUAAAAGCACAUUAUUUAGUUUCACUAUGAAUUUUACCAUUUUCCUAUGAAAACAACGAAAAUUUUGCAAAAUUCGGUAAAAAAAUCGCUCCAGAAAAAGACUCGAUAUUGAGUAGUUUUAAUGCAAUGCUUACUGUUUGCGAAACAGUUAAAUUAACGCAAACUAUAGUUUGAGUGAAAUAACUCAAAAUUGGGUUUUUCACAAAUAACUCAAAUUUGACUGGUUUUACUUAGGUGUCAAGAUGAGUGAAAAAGACCUAAUUUUGAGUUCUUUCGUUUCCCCG